rnacentral:sRNA from 1 species
CUCUACUGAGAUGAAGAAAGAAAAAGAAUACAUGCUCAGCUCCAGGGACACGUAAAGGGACAGAGAUUGGGGGACAGAAGGAAGUGCAUUAAUUCCUUCCACGACCCCUGAAGAGCAGCGGUGGGUCUGAGCAUGCUAUCUCCAUGAAGCAGGCCAGCAGGCAAGCCAGCUGCCACCUCGUCCUGUGCAAAGCACAGGCACCGUCCCCAAAAGAUUUCCAAAGAUGAUGUUAAACCCAGCCAUGGUUCUCAUCUCCAGGAAAGCAAUUGCUGUGGUACAAAAGGACAAGGGUUAAAAGAGAACAGUGGGAGCUCUCUUUCCCAACUAACUCCAGGUGUGACGCAGAGGCUUUCAGCACAGGCCAGGGUGCCCGGGACUGAAAACUCCUUCACCAA